rnacentral:rRNA from 1 species
GACGGGGGAUGCAAGCGUUAUCCGGAAUCACUGGGCGUAAAGCGUCUGUAGGUGGUGAUGCAAGUCACUGGUGCAAAACUCUGGCUCAACCGGAGGAAAACCAGUGAAACUGCAUGACUAGAGUGUGGGAGAGGUAGAAGGAAUUCCCUGAGUAGCGGUGAAAUGCGUAGAUACAGGGAAGAACACCGGAGGCGAAAGCGUUCUACUGGAACACAACUGACACUGAGAGCCGAAAGCUAGGGGAGCGAAUGCG